UACGUAGGGACCAAGCGUUGUUCGGAUUUACUGGGCGUAAAGGGCGCGUAGGCGGCUUGACAAGUCACUUGUGAAAUCUCCGGGCUUAACUCGGAACGGCCAAGUGAAACUGUCAUGCUAGAGUGCAGAAGGGGCAAUCGUAAUUCUUGGUGUAGCGGUGAAAUGCGUAGAUAUCAAGAGGAACACCUGAGGUGAAGACGGGUUGCUGGGCUGACACUGACGCUGAGGCGCGAAAGCCAGGGGAGCAAACGGG
rnacentral:rRNA from 1 species